rnacentral:rRNA from 1 species
AUUGGGGCCCUGAGAGGGGGAUCCCCCACACUGGUACUGAGACACGGACCAGACUCCUACGGGAGGCAGCAGUGAGGAAUAUUGGACAAUGGGCGGAAGCCUGAUCCAGCCAUGCCGCGUGCAGGAAGACGGCCCUACGGGUUGUAAACUGCUUUUAUACGGGAAGAAUAAUCACGACGUGUCGUGGGAUGACGGUACCGUAAGAAUAAGGACCGGCUAACUCCGUGCCAGCAGCCGCGGUAAUACGGAGGGUCCGAGCGUUAUCCGGAAUUAUUGGGUUUAAAGGGUCCGCAGGCGGGCUUAUAAGUCAGGGGUGAAAUGGUGCGGCUCAACCGUAGCACUGCCCUUGAUACUGUUAGUCUUGAGUUAUGGUGGAGUGGCCGGAAUAUGUAGUGUAGCGGUGAAAUGCAUAGAUAUUACAUAGAACACCGAUCGCGAAGGCAGGUCACUAACCAUUAACUGACGCUGAUGGACGAAAGCGUGGGGAGCGAACAGGAUUAGAUACCCUGGUAGUCCACGCCGUAAACGAUGGAUACUAGCUGUCCGCUGCCUUGAGCAGUGGGCGGCCAAGCGAAAGUGAUAAGUAUCCCACCUGGGGAGUACGUUCGCAAGAAUGAAACUCAAAGGAAUUGACGGGGGCCCGCACAAGCGGUGGAGCAUGUGGUUUAAUUCGAUGAUACGCGAGGAACCUUACCAGGGCUUAAAUGCAGAAUGACAGGUUUAGAGAUAGACUUUUCUUCGGACAUUUUGCAAGGUGCUGCAUGGUUGUCGUCAGCUCGUGCCGUGAGGUGUCAGGUUAAGUCCUAUAACGAGCGCGACCCCUACCGUUAGUUGCCAGCAUUUAAAGAUGGGGACUCUAACGGGACUGCCGGUGCAAACCGUGAGGAAGGUGGGGAUGACGUCAAAUCAUCACGGCCCUUACGUCCUGGGCUACACACGUGCUACAAUGGCCGGUACAGAGAGCAGCCACUCCGCAAGGGGGAGCGAAUCUACAAAACCGGUCACAGUUCGGAUCGGGGUCUGCAACUCGACCCCGUGAAGCUGGAAUCGCUAGUAAUCGGAUAUCAGCCAUGAUCCGGUGAAUACGUUCCCGGGCCUUGUACACACCGCCCGUCAAGCCAUGGAAGCCGGGAGUGCCUGAAGUCCGUCACCGUAAGGAGCGGCCUAGGGCAAAAUCGGUAACUAGGGCU